AUACGGAGGAUGCAAGCGUUAUCCGGAUUUAUUGGGUUUAAAGGGUGCGUAGGCGGUUUGCUAAGCGGGAGGUGAAAUGCCGGCGCUCAACGUCGGAAGUGCCUCCCGAACUGGUGGACUUGAAUGACUCUGCCGUGGGAGGAAUGUGUAGUGUAGCGGGUAAAUGCUUAGAGAUUACACAGAACACCGAUUGCGAAGGCAUCUCACGAAGGGUUGAUUGACGCUGAGGCACGAAAGCGUGGGGAUCAAACAGGAUUAGAUACCCUGGUAGUCCACGCAGUAAACGAUGAUGGCUAACCGCUGGAUCCAUCGGUUCAGUGGCCAAGCGAAAGCGAUAAGCCAUCCACCUGGGGAGUACGACCGCAAGGUUGAAACUCAAAUGAAUUGACGGGG
rnacentral:rRNA from 1 species